AGGGGAGAGUUGGGUAGAGAAUUGAGUCAUGGUGAAAACAGGGAAGUAGAUGCCCAGAGAGAGAAUGGAGAACAAACAGAGAAGGAAGCCAAGAACAACCUCCAAGGAAAACACAACAUUCAAGGUACACGUAAAAGAAUAGAAGCCAGUAAAGUAGAGAAAGAAGGACAAAUCAGAGAGGAGAAGAGCCAUGAGAUACCUCUCAGAAGCCAUGGUAUUAAACAUCUCCAGUGCCCCAGUUAAGUCAAAUAAGGUGGGAAGUGGAAACUGACGAAGUUUAUUGGACUUGGCGCUUUCGAAGUCACUGGAAAUUACCACCACAGCAAUUUCAGUAGAUUAGCAAGGUGUUGACUAGAGUACCAUUAAGAGUGAUUGAAAGGUAAAGAGAUGAAGACAACAAACAAAGGCUAUUCUUCUAAGAAAUUUAUCAUGAAGAUAAGAAGAAAAGCAAUGAAAUGCAGAUCGACAUCUUCAUUUUGGACAUCUAGUCUCUAGAACUCUGGAACAAUAAAUUCCUGUUGAUUAUAUC
rnacentral:lncRNA from 1 species